GAUGAACGCUGGAGGCCUGAAAGAAGAUAAGAGAGCACAUGCAAGUCGUAGCGAGAAAUCGCAGAAGGAAGCUUCGGUAGAAUUCUGUGAUGGAAAGCGGCGUUCCGGAAAAAUAACGCGUGGGAAACCUGCCCUUGACAGGGGGACAGCCGAGGGAAACUUCGAUUAAUACCCCAUAACGCAGAGAGACCGCAUGGUCAUUCUGCCAAAGAAUUAUCGGUCAGGGAUGGUCCCGCGUCUGAUUAGCUGGUUGGUGAGGCAGCGGCUCACCAAGGCGACGAUCAGUAGCCGGCCUGAGAGGGUGAACGGCCACAUUGGAACUGAGACACGGUCCAGACUCCUACGGGAGGCAGCAGUGGGGAAUAUUGCACAAUGGGCGCAAGCCUGACGCAGCAACGCCGCGUGAAGGAGGAAGGCCUUCGGGUCGUAAACUUCUGUCCAAAGGGAAGAAGAAUGACGGUACCUUUGGAGGAAGCCCCGGCUAACUAC
rnacentral:rRNA from 1 species